rnacentral:lncRNA from 1 species
UGACUUUUUAAUGAUUGCCAUUCUAACUGGCAAUCUUGGUUUUACAGCUGUUACAUUGCUGUGUAUUUAUCCAGUUCACCUUUAAGUUCAAUUAUAAUCCUAAACAUUUUCUCAUAUCUCAUGCAGGUUUUAUUAGAAUAUGACAUAUUCAUGUGUUCAGAAUUUUCAUGACCUUCAUUAAAGUUUUUCAUUUUCUUUUGUUUAACAAUGGAACCAUUUUUCCUAAGUUUAUUUCUAGAUAUAUUAUUAUUUAUAAUUACUGUUUAGAAUGCACU